UGGGUGAGAUGGCCGUCUAGCACGGAGGCAAAUCCACCUCUCAGAAGCUGCUGGAAGGGCUACAAUCAGGACACCAGUGUAUACGACGUCCUUUCUCUGUUGACCUCUAGUUCCUCUCAAAGUGCAGCCCCAGGAUGUUCACCAGCUCUGUGACAUGAAGUAAGUCAAACUCCACGAGCAUCAGCUUAUUCGCGCCUUGAAUGACCCUAUGGCUGCAUACUUAGCCGAGUCGCAGGCACCUCUACGACGUCUGUUUUAAGGUUAUACACAUCUGCUACACCUUGUCAUUUAAGGCGUGGAGGUAAGCCUUUCUCCGUUGACUUGAACUCUUGCUGUGGCUCCAGAUUAUGUGAGUGGCAGAGAGCAUCUUUCUAAUGUGCACGGUAGGUCCCAGGCCUUUCUUUCCCAUCUCAUCUGAAAACAUCUGCCAGCCUUUUCCCAACUCACCUGCUUAGUGAAGAAAAAUAAUCCGCUGUAAUACACCCAUAAAUUUAAAUUCCAACUACGGGAUAAAAGCUAAUGCCCUGUGACAGGGUUUACUCCGCAUUUCCACAUCUACAUCGAGGCCCCUGGCACUCAAGCUUUACUGAAAGCUAAUUCUACGGGGCUGUGAGUCAACCAAGCUUCCUCCGAAAACAGGACUGUGCUAGGAAACUGCCCUCACAAAAGGGGCCUGUCUGCAGUGGAUGAAGAGAUGUGUUAUUACUAAGAUCAAACUGGUGGCCUCGAGGGCAGGGGACAAGAAGAGAGGAGAGGUGUGACCAUUCCAGUCCUUCUAGAAUGACCUGCUCACUUCUCUCUAGCAGAGAUCAUUCCCACCUGUGUGAGUUUCAGGGAAAGAGGAGGAAUCCCCUUGAGGUCAUACAAUCCCAACCGGGGUGGCUAGACUCCAGAUUGUACUAAAAUA